UCUUAUUGAGAGUGGUGGAGGGACUGGCCCGAUGAAACCCGGCAACCUUUCAGGGAAUAUCUUUCCCGAAAAGGUGCUAAAUCCUGCAAAAUACAUCUGUAUUUUGAAAAAUAAGA
rnacentral:ncRNA from 1 species